UUUCAAUGGAAAAUGCCUUAAAAACUAGAAUUUUUACCACUUCACAUAAUGUGUCUUGAAAAUUGUUGUGGUUAUUUGGAGCACACUGACAUUGGUCAGUGUGUCACACUUUUGGAGCUCAGCCUAAGCUUCUGCUGAAAUUUAUCUACAUUAAGGAACCCUCCAAAAUCAGUGCACUUAGUUUUCUAACAUCAACCUAUCAUGACACUAUCUAAAAUCGAAUUCACUGACUUAUAUCCUCAGCAUGGCAAUCAAGAAUUCUUCAAAAUAGUAAGUCAGUUUCAUAACUGCACUGGGGAUAGACCUUUUUCAGGUAAACUAUUUUCAGAAUAUAGUGACAGUGUGUGCACCCUAUCAGGUAUCUUUUUUUCCACUUUCUAGUGUAAUAGGAUAACAAUUCAUUUAAGUAUGGCCAUAGUUGCAAAACUACAUUCAAUUUGCUAAGAAAGAACUACAGGGAAAGUUUGUAACUGUCAUAUGUAUUAUGCUAUUAUGACCUAAAGGUAAAAAUGAUGUCAGCCAAAGGGACAGUUGGGACCAAGAACCAUUAGCUACACAUAGACAAUUCAAAUGCAUUUGUAUGGUAGCCAGUUUAUUUCAGUCUCUAGUCCUUCUACUAUUUUUUCCCAUUUCAUUCUUCCCAUCUUUCCCCACCUACUGCUAUAACUUUUCUUCCAGCAAGUUUUAGGGUUGAAGUUUAAAUGAGCAUCUGCCACAGCACCAAUGCCAACACUAACUGGCCAUCAACCAGCGGGGUACUCUUGCAUGGGAUGCCUGGCUCCACUUCGGAGACUGCGUUUAACCUUUAUGACAUACUCAGAUUCCACCAGCUUGGUGCCUCAAAUCCCAUGUUCCUGUUUCUCUCCAAAUUUUCUGAUCAGAAGCACAUUUUUAGGUACAAUGGGCCAACUGGUGCGCUGCCUCCUCAAGAAGGUGUCCUUGGGAAGGGUCGGGGUAGUAAACCUUUCCUGAAGGGCAAUGUCCACAGAACAGAUGUCACCAGUGGGGUCUAGAACAGGUUAACAGGUUUCUCUACUUCAUUUGGCUUCCUUGGUCAUUGAAAUACUGACUGUCCAUUUCUGAUGAGCAGAAGUAGGAGAAAACACAGUUUUCAUGGUAUGUACUAUAAGUUAUCUGCCUUCCUGGUCAGUUCAGC
rnacentral:lncRNA from 1 species